CGGGUGUAGUUUAGUGGUAGAACAUCAGCCUUCCAAGCUGAUCGUGAGGGUUCGAUUCCCUUCACCC
rnacentral:tRNA from 1 species